rnacentral:rRNA from 1 species
GAUGAACGCUGGCGGCGUGCCUAAUACAUGCAAGUCGAGCGAACAGACGAGGAGCUUGCUCCGCUGACGUUAGCGGCGGACGGGUGAGUAACACGUGGAUAACCUACCUAUAAGACUGGGAUAACUUCGGGAAACCGGAGCUAAUACCGGAUAAUAUAUUGAACCGCAUGGUUCAAUAGUGAAAGACGGUUUUGCUGUCACUCAUAGAUGGAUCCGCGCCGCAUUAGCUAGUUGGGAAGGUAACGGCUUACCAAGGCGACGAUGCGUAGCCGACCUGAUAGGGUGAUCGGCCACACUGGAACUGAGACACGGUCCGGACUCCUACGGGAGGCAGCAGUGGGGAAUCUUCCGCAAUGGGCGAAAGCCUGACGGAGCAACGCCGCGUGAGUGAUGAAGGUCUUCGGAUCGUAAAACUCUGUUAGUAGGGAAGAACAAGUGUGUAAGUAACUAUGCACGUCUUGACGGUACCUAAUCAGACAGCCACGGCUAACUACGUG